UACGGAGGGUGCGAGCGUUGUUCGGAAUCACUGGGCGUCAAGCGCACGUAGGCGGAUGUGCCAGUCAGGGGUGAAAUCCCGGAGCUCAACUUCGGAACUGCCUCUGAUACAGCACGUCUUGAGUCCGGAAGAGGUGGGUGGAAUUCCUAGUGUAGAGGUGAAAUUCGUAGAUAUUAGGAAGAACACCGGUGGCGAAGGCGGCCCACUGGUCCGGUACUGACGCUGAGGCGCGAAAGCGUGGGUAGCAAACGGG
rnacentral:rRNA from 1 species